rnacentral:rRNA from 1 species
UACAGAGGUCUCAAGCGUUGUUCGGAUUCAUUGGGCGUAAAGGGUGCGUAGGCGGCGCGGUAAGUCGGGUGUGAAAUCUCGGAGCUUAACUCCGAAACUGCAUUCGAUACUGCCGUGCUUGAGGACUGGAGAGGAGACUGGAAUUCCUGGUGUAGCGGUGAAAUGCGCAGAUAUCAGGAGGAACACCGGUGGCGAAGGCGGGUCUCUGGGCCGAAAUUGACGCUGAGGAGCGAAAGCGUGGGGAGCAAACAGG